GCCUGGAUAGCUCACUUGGUUAGAGUGUGCUGCUGAUAAUGCCAAGUCUGCAGGUUCUAUCCCUGUACGAGACA
rnacentral:tRNA from 1 species